rnacentral:sRNA from 1 species
GCUGGGCAUGGUGGCGCAUGCCUGUAGUCCCAGCUACUCGGGAGGCUGAGGCAGGAGAAUCACUUGAACCCGGGAGGCAGAGGUUGCUGUGAGCUCAGAUCAAACCACCGCACUCCAGCCUGGGUGACAGAGCGAGAUUUUGCCUUAA